CAACACAGUCGGCUUCAAUGAUAAGACUGUUGUUGUUUGUGAUCAGGCAAUUGUAAUUGGAGUAAGUACAUUUUUGGUCCCUGAUUUUAUCUGGUUUUUUCGGUUUUGGUCCCUAAAGGUGUAAGGUUGCAGUUUUGGUUCUUAUAUCACUAUUUUAUGUGAUUUUGGUCUCUGGCUUGUCUUAGUUAAUAGCCUAGCUGUUAAACUUUUUUGAAAUAAUCAUUGUGCUUUGGACUAAAAUUUUCUCUUAUUUUCUGAAACACCUUGCACUAGGUAUAGAUAUAAUGUUGGCAACUAUAUGAAGCUUUUAAUAAAAUAGACAUAUGUACAUUUAAAAUUUUAUAAACCUUAACUAAGAAUAAAAAGAAAAUAACAACUUUGGUCCUUGUGGUAUACAACUUGUUUCAGGUUUUGGUCCAAGGUUAAAAACGUCAUUUUAAAAUAUUCAGUUAUGCUGUCUUUUCAUUUUUGUUAGUUAGAUUAAUCCCCUAAUCCAUUUUCCAUACCUUGCAAUGUGAGAGGGAAUAUCAUAUUGGCUAUUUGAGGGAACAUAAGAAGAUUGAUCUGAAGGAGUUGCAACUGCAGUGUCGACUGGAAUACUUCAUUUGGUUCUAGAGAGAUUAGUGGGCAUGUGGCCCGGUGAAGGUCACUGAUUCUCUUACGGGUUUAAUCAGGAAUUCCGAGAUGAAGUGGAUAGUUUUGCAUGGGAAAGAUGUUUCUGAUGAGAACAAAGUAUUGCUUUCACAAGCUGUUGACAUCAUUCAUGUGAAUAAAGGAAUAUUUCAGAUGCAAGUGGAGAUUUUCAAAGUUGAAAAUCAUGGUAUGUUGGAAUUAAAGCACAAUGCUAUUUUAAUACUUGAAUAUUAAUUGUUAUGAUAAGUUGGAAAAUUGUUAAGUGAUGGAAUUGUCAAUUAUUUGAGGGAUUUAAAUACGAUUCAUUAAAAUUGGUGGACAUUUUUUUUGCUCUAAAUCAAAUAAUGG